ACUCAAAUGAAUAGACGGGGGCCCGCACAAGCGGUGGAGCAUGUGGCUUAAUUCGACGCUACGCGAAGAACCUUACCAGGACUUGACAGUCACGGAAUCUCGGGGAAACUCGAGAGUGCCCUUCGGGGAGCCGUGAAACAGAUGGUGCAUGGCCGUCGUCAGCUCGUGUCGUGAGAUGUUGGGUUGAGUCCCGCAACGAGCGCAACCCUUACCAUGUGUUGCCAGCGGUUCGGCCGGGAACUCACAUGGAACUGCCUCGGUAACGAGGAGGAAGGCGGGGAUGAUGUCAGGUCCGCAUGCCUCUUACGUCCUGGGCUGCACACAUGCUACAAUGGGAAGUACAAUGGGCUGCAAGACCGCGAGGUGGAGCCAAUCCCCAAAACUUCCCCCAGUUAGGAUUGCAGUCUGCAACUCGACUGCAUGAAUGCGGAAUCGCUAGUAACCGCAAAUCAGCUACGUUGCGGUGAAUACGUUCUCGGGCCUUGUACACACCGCCCGU
rnacentral:rRNA from 1 species